GUUUUGAACCUGUUAGAAUUUAAUCUCCACUGACCACCUCUCCUACCACUUCAGAGAAAACACUGGAAAAAAUGUAUUUCUCAAAGCAAGGAAACCAGGACGACAACAACAGGACGUCACAUAAACCCCGAAGUCAUGUUGGAACAGAGAAAACAUCCUGGUUGAAGACAGUCUAGAGUUAAAUGCAUGGAUCCCUGCGGCCCUUCCCUCCUCUGCCUGGAACAGAAAAAAAUGCCCUUUCCACCUCCUGCCACAGCGGUCCGCGCCGUCAUCCAUCUGCUGGCAGGAAGCUCCCUGGAAACCUGCCAGGAGCUGGAAGAUCCCAGCUGAGGGGAUUGGUUUGCUCAUCUGGCUGCCUGGGCCUUCAAACAGCUGGAAACACCAAUGAAAUCCUCAUCAGGAUCAAGCCAAAGGAAAAAAGGAAGAAUCUGCACCUCAUUUCUUCACACAAAGUGUUAAUGACAUCCAAGUCGAAGCUAAAAAGGUUUUGUUGCAAUAGGAAAUAAAAAAAUCGAUUAAA